rnacentral:lncRNA from 1 species
GGGCAUCGGACGGCCGUCCUUGUGAUGUAACAAGAAAAGAUUUGACGGCCAUCCUUGUGGUAUGACAAGAAAAGCUGACGCUGGCCAUGUCGGUGGUAUGGAGAGCAUGGGCGAUGUCGGGCUAUCUAUGAUGAGCUCCAUGUAAAUUCUUCAAAGUCUCUUUCGGGCCGGUUUGUGUCCGGCCAUGACUAUUGACAGUCAUGUAGACAUCACAG